GUCACAAUGUAAUGUGACAAAAUGUGGAAUGAAUUUUUGACAUUGAAAGCGAAUUCGCACUAAAUUUUCAAAGAUAUCGGUUUUUUCCUUCUUCUCAAAGCAAUGGCCAUUCAAAGUAAUGCAAUUCAACUGAUUCGCGGCGGAACAAUUUAUCAAAAUCAAAAUAGACCAGAGUUGUGUUGCGCGCUAUCCGGAUUGGAAUUUCAUUAAAAUGUGUUUUGGUCGAUAAAUGUAAAUCGAACGCCCUAUAUGAAAGAUGCAUCCAAUGAAUAAAUGGAUUUUUCCAGUCAAUCGAUUCCAAGAAGCUGAUACAAAAUCAAUUUUAAACCACACGCUACGACAUAUCAAUAUUUCAGCGGUGUCUAUGGAAAAUAGACUUUUGACCGGUUUUGCUUCGUUUUUUUAUGUAAUCAUCAUUUUGAAUGGCUGAAGUAGUAUGCUAAAAGAGAGGAAAAAAAUGGACACAGUAAAAUCAAAGCCAUGUUAUUUAGGGCAGGAGAUACGAUAAGGAUGAAAAUUGUAUUUCAGCUUCAGAGAUUGUGCGCGCGCGCCGCAGACAAUGGGAUCUCGGGGCAAAAUGUGCUCUUCACGCAUUACACAUAAUACACGACUACGUGCAUUUUAAGUGGGGAUUGCCUUUAUGGUUGCACGCUGAUAAAUUAACAUUGUAUCUGCGCACAACGGAAUAAAUGGCUGUCUGGCGUUCAGGUGUUUUUGCGGACAAUCAAUGCCACCAUUCUUUGUUGCUGAGGUGAACCGUUCGUGAGACAAUUGAACCGAAGACAAGGAAUGAGAAGAAGAGGACAAAAAAAAACCUUACACACCUUUACCAAUCGAGUCAGAACUGCUCCCCCCGUGGCGAUUGAGGUAAUAGCUUGAAUUUUCCCACAAUUUCAAUUGGCUCAUCAAAUUCGAGUCUAAUUAUAGAGCAUCGAAUUUUCUAAGUGCUUUUUUAUUGAAAUGAAUGCACGACUGACCACCAUUAACAUCGAAAGAUUUGAGCUCAUUUAGAGAAAAAAAUAUGGAAUAGAACAGCAUACGAUCACUAUCAAAACAUUCACGAUACAACUCUCAUUGUAGAACUUGUUAAUUUUAAAUUGAGAAACAAAAUAGGAAGCUAACAUUCGGUUUUCUGUUGGAUCGAAACAAUAAAGCGGACGCUGGUCGAGCUAUAAAUUUUUUGGGGGGACUAAAAAAAAGUAGAGAAAAAAGCCAGUUAGGACCGGUGCACAGCUUCAUCGCGAACGAAGGAAGGAAUGAACGGCCAAAGAAGAGAAAGAAAAAAAACAGCCUCCGAAGUGCGAACUAUAUGAAGCAGCAACGUUAAUUAUAAAAACACAACCAAAUACAAUUUAUUUUCUGUCCAAAUUUUAUUUCACGUGCCUUUCGGCCUCAUUUCAACUCAUCGCAUUUAAUGCACCGAGACAAAAGGUUACCAUGACCAUUGUUAGAAUUUAUGUCUCGUUAUUUAUUGAGGGGGAUUCGAUUUUGAUUUUUAUUAUUAAAAAAAAUACACCAAUGUAAUAGCUACGAGCUUGCAUAGCUUACGAUAUAACGACAAAAAGAAACUCGAUGGGUUAUUUAAAUGAUUUAACCCCAAUCAGAGAUGCGGUUAAAGAUAAAGCGAGUACAAACAAAAAUCCAUUUAGCUUAAUUAUUGAAAUUAUGAAGCUUAAUUCCGUGCCACAUCGUAUGUUAUUGUAAAUGGUUAGAGCGCAUACAGAAAAUGCAAUAUUUGCACGUUCAAAAAUAGACACCAAAUUACAAUGAUGUCACAUCAUGUGACUUAGAUGUCAGAAUUUGGUUUUUGGAUUCGUAUAAGAAAUUCUGCCGAUAAAAAUCAACAAUAAAAUAAAUUGGACUUAUAUUUUAAUUAAAAAGUAAAUUGUAAAAUAUUUUAUAUUUCGAUGGGAGAUAAUGGAAAAAGUUUUGAAUAAAAAGCCAAUUGGUUUUCAACCUUGAACUGGAAAAUUGUCCCGAUUAGAUGGGUGACUCUUCUAAAUUUUUUAUUGAAAACAUUGUUUUGCUUUUGUAAUAUUAUAAUGAUGGUUUAUUAGACAAUAAAAAUAGAAUGCGUUUCA